rnacentral:rRNA from 1 species
UACGGAGGGUGCAAGCGUUGCUCGGAAUUAUUGGGCGUAAAGGGUAGGUAGGUGGUCUCAUUUGUCUGGGGUGAAAGCCUUGAGCUUAACUCGAGAAGUGCCCCAGAAACGGUGAGACUGGAGUCCUGGAGAGGGUCGUGGAAUUCCUGGUGUAGCGGUGAAAUGCGCAGAUAUCAGGAGGAACACCGAUGGCGAAGGCAGGUCUCUGGGCUGUAACUGACGCUGAGGAGCGAAAGCAUGGGGAGCGAACAGG